AAAUUGAAGAGUUUGAUCAUGGCUCAGAUUGAACGCUGGCGGCAGGCCUAACACAUGCAAGUCGAACGGUAACAGGAAGCAGCUUGCUGCUUCGCUGACGAGUGGCGGACGGGUGAGUAAUGUCUGGGAAACUGCCUGAUGGAGGGGGAUAACUACUGGAAACGGUAGCUAAUACCGCAUAAUGUCGCAAGACCAAAGAGGGGGACCUUCGGGCCUCUUGUCAUCGGAUGUGCCCAGAUGGGAUUAGCUUGUUGGUGGGGUAACGGCUCACCAAGGCGACGAUCCCUAGCUGGUCUGAGAGGAUGACCAGCCACACUGGAACUGAGACACGGUCCAGACUCCUACGGGAGGCAGCAGUGGGGAAUAUUGCACAAUGGGCGCAAG
rnacentral:rRNA from 1 species